rnacentral:misc_RNA from 1 species
AACGGUCUAUACCUGCGGUACCUGCGGAAGGAUCAUUACCGAGUUUACAACUCCCAAACCCCUGUGAACAUACCACUCGUUGCCUCGGCGGAUCACCGCGCCCCGUGAAACGGGCCGGCCCGCCAGAGGACCUAAACUCAAAUGUUUUAUUGUAUCUUCUGAGUAAAAACACAAAUAAAUCAAAACUUUCAACAACGGAUCUCU